AUGCAGCUGGAAUUUCAGGUGUGUCACCCUGGAGCUGAGGCCUCCAGAUGGACUCGUAGAAGGGAGAUGUGUAAGGCUCCAUCCCUCAGCAGCCCACGAUCUCUGAAGGUUUGCCACUGUGGCCAAUGUUUUAUGGAAGCUUCUGAGGCCGUAGAGCAGAGGGAAGUUCUGAGCACACGGAGGACAAGCCAGGGUGGUGCUGUGUGGCCGCAAACAACCCUAAGUAGGGGAUACGUGUGGGGGACAGGCUCUAACACCUUGAUUCCUUAUGUCUGUGUCUCUGCAGUAUGUUUCAUGGAGAGUCUGAGUGACAGCAACCAUGAUGAAAGUGAUACAGACUCAGUGGUGGAGAGCCUGAGCAGCCGCCAGGAUGAGGAGGCUGCAGCAACCCUCGAUGAUGUUGUGGAGGCCGGCGGGAGUGAGAAGACGGAGGAAGAGGCCCUGGCUGGGGCAAAUGAGGAGGAGGUGGGGCCGGGAACUGAGAAGGUGCAGGAGGAGGCUGCCUGCAUUGACGAGGCAGAGGAGGAGGCAGGCCCAUCCCUUGAAAAUGACGAGGAGUCCCCAGCCAGCGACCUGGUUGAGCAGGAAGACCAGCUUGCCCCCAAGGUAAGCUCACCUUUCUUGAUCGGAGAUUUAAAAAGGUGCCUCCUUUCUUCUUGGAUGUGCCUACUUCAGAAAAGGAAAUCUGAGCAAGUCCAUUAUAGAGGAUAUAUGCACAUUCCUCUGUGGAGGAAUGUUGAGUCAAAGUUUGGUACCAACCAAUAACUCCUUCCAAGGGGCAUUGGCAAAAGGGACCACAUCAGUUCCCAAGUGUACAUAGGGAGCAUUUGUCUUUGAAGAAGCCUGAAUGUUUUGUUUUGUUGUCUUUUUGCCUUUUCUAGGGCCACUCCUGUGGCAUAUGGAGGUUCCCAGGCUCAGGGUCAAACCAGAGCUGUAGCCACCGGCCUGCGCCAGAGCCACAGCAACGCGGGAUCCGAGCCACGUCUGCAACCUACACCUCAGCUCACGGCAAUGCCGGAUCCUUAACCCACUGAGCAAGGCCAGGGAUCGAACCCGCAACCUCAUGGUUCCUGGUCGGAUUCGUUAACCACUGCGCCACGACGGGAACUCCAAAGAAGCCUGAAUGUUUUUUAAAUGAACGUGGACUUGGGAGGUCUUCCAUGAAAAGCUGGUGCCUUUUCCACAGGUGUCUUUGCUGUCUUCUUUUGGGGAAACGGACUCAACUCUGCCUUCUGUCUGUGUGCCUGCGGUCCGCAACCACAGGAAGACCUGUGGCCACAGUGCAGAGGAUGCUGUGACACUCACAGUGUUUUCUUUUCUCUCAUCACAGGUGGACGGGAUGGACGAUGAAAGCCGUAAGUAUUCUGGAACCCGGCUCUGCUGAGGAGAAGUCCAGGUGUUGAGGAAGGGCGGGGGGUGCUUUCCUGCCCCUUUGGUUGCAGAGACACCCUGAUUCUGGGUUCCUCCUGGGAAAGGGGGUGACGGAUGGGGUGAAAGAGACUGACUUCCCACAAAAGGGCCAUCCCAAGUCCUCGGGUCCCUGGAGGAAAGGAGGCUCUUUGUAUGGUGGGGGUAGGUGUCCGGGAACAUUGGGGGGUGUGCGUGUGAGGGCCUGUUGGUGUGAUUGUGAACCAGUGUGAGUGGGUGUGUUUUGUGGGGAGUCACUUGUGCCUUAGCACCACAUAGCUGUCCAGUUUCUCGUUGAACAGUCUCAUGAUGACCGCAGGCUAACUGUCCAUUCCCUCAUUCUCCCUGCACCCGCUGGGAGCAAGGUUUGGGGAAAAGGCUUUCCUUCCUCUGUUGGUCUUUCGUUUCCUCUUUUCUUCCCCCUCUGCUUGGUGCAGACUUUCAUGCUGUUGUUUCAAACAUGUGCCAUGAACUCGAGCCUCUUGAGGUUGUAAGUGUCCCGAGGAGUGUUGUGAACGCUGUGCUCCCCCCGCACCUCCUGCCCACUCGGGGCAGCCACCCUUCCAGCCUCUGCUCAGGAGUGGUCUUUCAGACACCUCAUGUGCAUGACAUCAGAGAGUCUUUGUCCUUCUGUGUCUGACUGGCUUCACUUGAAGUGAUGUCCUCCAGCGAGUUCCUGUUGAGGCUCAGAGCUCAUGAACCUGACCAGUACCUAUGAGGACACGGGUUCGACCCUUGGCCUUGCUCAGUGGGUGAAGAAUCCCGCAUUGCGGUGAGCUGCGGCAGAGGUCCCAGACGCGGCUGGUAUCCAGCUUGGCUGUGGCUGUGGUGUCGGCCGGUGGCCACAGCUCUGAUUUGCCGCCUCGCCUGGGAAUUUCCAUCUGCUGCGGGGGCAGCCCUCAAGCCCAAAAGUGAAUCAGUCAAUAAUGUCCUGGAGUUCUCUGUGCAUUGCUGCAAUGGGUAGGGUUUCCUUCUUCUGUGACAACGGAAUACCUUGCUGUGGUCUGUAUCCACCCCGUUGUCUUUCUCAGUCUGUGUGCCCGUGGACACUGGGGCUCUGUUUCUGUUGGGCUCUUGUGUAUGGCGCUGCCGUGAUCCUGGGAUGGCAGGUCUCUUUACCCGACACUGAUGGAUCUUCCUUUACAUGUCCAUGCAGCAGUGGGAUUGCAGGGUCCUGCCGUGGUGUUUCCCGUCCUGGCUGGCCCCGUUGACAUUCCCUGCUACAGUGUCCAGAAGUCCCAGGCAGUCACAUCUUCCCAAACAUCUGUUCAGGUUUGAAAACACUCCGUGUCCUACCAGGUGGGAGGUGAUACCUCGUGGUGCCUUUGCUUUGCCUUUCCAUUGUGAUAGGCGACUUUGGGAAACAUGCCCUCUGUGUGCUGCUCUCUGUGGUCUUCUUGGACGGUGGGUCUCUCCCAGGCUUCCACUCAUCUACAACUGAGGCAUUUGCCUUUUGAUUCAAUUGAUUUGUAGUUGUUUCCCAUAUAUUCCAAAUAUGAGCCCCUGUUUCAAAUACAAGAUUUACAAAUAUCCUCUUCUGUAGGUUGUCUUUCCAUUCAGUGGAUUGUUAGACACUGUCCUUUCUGUUUGUUUCUAUUUUAAUGGAGGUACAGUGUUGUUUCACUCUCUGCUGUGGAGCAACGUUCCCCAGUCGUGUGUGUCCAUUAACGUAUGUUCCUUUUUUGAUAUUAUUGCCGUCUGAGAUCAGGUCGAUUACAGGAGAUUGGAUCUCGUUCUCCGUGUGCUGCAACAGGAGGACCUUGUUGUCUCUCCAUUCUCAAUGCCGUAGUUGGCAUCAACUGCCCCCAAACUCCCAGUCCGUGCCCUUCACAACCACAAGUCUGUUCUCUGCAUCCGUGGGUUCUGUGGACAGGUUCCUUUGUGCCGUGCUUUAGAUUCCACCUCUCAGUGAGAUCAGGUGGUAUCCGUCUUUCUCUUUGUCACGUACUUCACUUUGCACGAGAAUCUCCCGAUCCAUCCCUAUUGUUUUGAGUGGCAUUGGUUUCUUCUUCGAUUUUCUGGCUGAGUCGUGAAUUCCAUCAUCUAUGUGGACCACAUCGUCAUGAGCCAUUCAUCUGUCUGUGGACAUGAGGUGGCUUCCCUGUCUUGGCUGUUGUGAACAGUGCUGCCAUAAACAUAGAGGGGCAUAUGUCUUUUUCCUGGAUACAUUUGUCCUGAUAUUUCCCAGGGUGCUCGGCUUGCUAGGUCGCAUGCCCUGCUGUGUUCAGUUUUCGCAGGACCCUCCAUGGUGUCUUCCAUAGUGGUUGUACCAGUGUACGUUCGCAUCGGCAAUGCUGGGGCGGGGGAGCCUUUUCUCCACCCGUAUCUGCGACCGACACCAGAGCUCUCGGCAACGCUGGAUCCUUAACCCCCUCAGCGAGGCCAGGGAUCAACCCCGCAAGCUCGUGGUUCCUAGUCGGAUUCGUUUCCGCUGUGCCCUGACGGGAACUCCUGGGUGGUUUCUUUGCUGUUGUUGUUGUGGAGGUGUAUGAGUUUUCUUUAUAUAUGUUUUGGAGGUGAACCUCACGGGCAGUGGUCCCUUUCUCCUCAGUGCUUCUGUAGAGCUGCUGUCCACAGUGUGCCAGCCACUGGCCAGAAGGAGCCAUUUCUGCUUAAUUGAGUUCAGUCAGUAGUUAGGUCUGCCUCUUGCAGUGAACAGAAUAAAGCAGCCUAUGGUUCACUCCCAGGGGCCACCACACAAGUGUGUCCAUGCAGCUGGAAUUUCAGGUGUGUCACCCUGGAGCUGAGGCCUCCAGAUGGACUCGUAGAAGGGAGAUGUGUAAGGCUCCAUCCCUCAGCAGCCCACGAUCUCUGAAGGUUUGCCACUGUGGCCAAUGUUUUAUGGAAGCUUCUGAGGCCGUAGAGCAGAGGGAAGUUCUGAGCACACGGAGGACAAGCCAGGGUGGUGCUGUGUGGCCGCAAACAACCCUAAGUAGGGGAUACGUGUGGGGGACAGGCUCUAACACCUUGAUUCCUUAUGUCUGUGUCUCUGCAGUAUGUUUCAUGGAGAGUCUGAGUGACAGCAACCAUGAUGAAAGUGAUACAGGUAAGAACAGCUCUCAGGUAGGAGCCAAUGGGAGAGGGAUCCCGGGACACUUGGGUGACGCCUGCUGCUUGGAGUGUGGGGCAGGUGAGUCUGAAACUUAAAAACAGAAAGAAAUUGAUGUAAAGAUGUUCACCGCCUACUUUAAUAAGGAGAGGGAGCAGAUAUGAGAUGCCUGAAUGUUGGCAUCUGUGCUCACCUUGUGUGGAAGGGUCUCAGUCCAUGGAGCAGAGGGAAGGUCUGGGCACCUGGAGGAAAAACCAGGGUGAUGCUCUGUACCCGUAGUCACCUCAGGGAAGCCGGAGAAACGGGAGGGCCACUCUUUCUAACUCCUUGAUUCCCCUGAUGGUGUGUUUCUACAGACUCAGUGGUGGAGAGCCUGAGCAGCCGCCAGGAUGAGGAGGCUGCAGGUAGGGAAGAGCACGCAGCUGGGAUCCAGUGGGAGAGGGUUCCUGGGAGCACCUGGGUUCCGCCUGCUGCCGGGAGAGGGAGGAAGUGGGGGAUAGGACUUGGCGGGUGGGUGGGUGGGUGGCCUAAUGAGUGGCACUCUGCUGUGGUGUUUUCCCCUGUGAAAUGGAUACCACGAAGAAGACUUGGGUCCCUGGUCUUUGUUGUGCUGUGUUUGUAUU
rnacentral:lncRNA from 9 species